CUAAGAUAAGAUGUAAUAUUUGUUCUUAUUAAUUUAAUAUAUGAUCUGUGGACCAUACAUUCCUCUUAUAUUAAAUUUAUUUUUUAUUUAAUAGGUAUCGAAUAUGAUUAUGUGUCAUCGCAAUGCAUGAGCAUUGUACUAGUUUGUAUUGAUGGUUUAGUUAAGAGAACCAUCAACGUAAAUUGGUUCACAAUGAGUAUGUUAUUACACCUGUAAAAGUUAUUUUUAAAAUUUCAAACAAACACAUCAUAUAACUAAUAAACCUUAUCUUAGCCUAAUCAACUAUAGUAACCUAUUCAAAUAUAUA
rnacentral:lncRNA from 7 species